rnacentral:lncRNA from 1 species
GAUUUACUACGGUUUUGUGUGUUUUGGAAGCUUCAGAAAUGACAAUACCCAACAUCACUACACAGCAUGCAAGAGCCAGAUUAAAACACAAACCUACUCCGACUGUGUUUGAAUGAAGAAAGCAUAAACACAGAGGAUGGCUUGAAGAUCUCAGCUCCGUCAUCUUUCAUUCUUUGACUAGCUGGAUUCAUCAAGCUAUAAACCUUAUUAUGAAAGAAAUGGCUAGUGGUGGAAACAUCCUGUGAAUAUUCCUUCAUCCAGCUAAUCUCAGAGGAGGAACCACACAUCUGCUUAUGGAGACAUGACUCAGUGAAAGAAAUGCUGACUGAUACUGACCUUGACUCAAAGGAGAGGUGUGUGUGUCUGGAAGAUGUCUGGGUUUUGUCAGGGUGAAUCUGUUUCAAUUUGACCACAGAUUUAAAACCGUAUGACCUCUGUAGUAUUUAGACUUAUGAUCAUGAUGAAAUAAAGGUAUGAUCAAAAUGUG